UCCCUGGAGGACCAGUGGUUAGGCCUCGGUGCUCUCACCGCCGUGGCCUGGGUUCGAUUCCCGGCCAGGGAA
rnacentral:tRNA from 1 species